CAUUUACCUUGGUCUGACUAAAGCAAGGGCAAGGCUUGUAAAACACGACUUGAGAUCCAUUACCGCCAUUUUUCGCUCUCCUUUCUUUUGGUAACUGAGAUCGUGAUAAUCAUACCCCAGUUAAAAAGACAAUGCAGCGGCUUAAACAUUGAAAAUACAGUGAGCCGUAUAUAUAUCUGGAGCAAGAGCUUGAGUCAUUCGGCCUAUAUGAGAAACGUUAAGCCAAGAUAGCGGAAUGACGUCCAAUAGCUCUGAAUGUUGUAAACAGUUUUACCAUUUCCCAACUAAUUCCAGUUUUUUCUAAUGAACCGUAUCGCUAAUCAAGUUAAAUCAGUUCAUAAAACCACAUAGUAUUCUUUAAAGUUAAAAUACGAAAUUUCGGCACACUCCUUGCGGACCGCGCAGGCAAAAACAACAGAAAGGGACUGAAACUGAUGAC